UACGUAGGUGACCAGCGUUGUCCGGAUUUACUGGGCGUAAAGAGCGCGCAGGCGGUCGUUCAAGUCGGGGGUGAAAGCCCCCGGCUCAACUGGGGAGGGUCACUCGAUACUGAUCGACUUGAAGGCAGGAGAGGGAAGCGGAAUUCCCGGUGUAGUGGUGAAAUGCGUAGAUAUCGGGAGGAACACCAGUGGCGAAGGCGGCUUUCUGGUCUGCUCUUGACGCUGAGGCGCGAAAGCUAGGGUAGCAAACGGG
rnacentral:rRNA from 1 species